GCGCGUGUAGCUCAUUGGUAGAGCACUUCACUGAUAAUGAAGUGGCAGAAGGUCCGAUUCCUUCCACGCGCA
rnacentral:tRNA from 1 species